rnacentral:rRNA from 1 species
UCGCUACUACCGAUUGAAUGAUUUAGUGAGCUGCAGGGACUGCCGCGCUUGAUUGGGUUUCCUUUCUUGCGUGAUGGGAACUGCUACAAACUUGACCAUUUAGAGGAAGUAA